ensembl:lncRNA
AUGAAUAAAACAUUCCUGCCACCAGAAGCUUCUAUCUGUUGGAGAAGUUCCUCUCGAACAAAGCGGGUUUGAAUGAGGAUGGGCCUGUUCCCAAACCUCUGAUGAGGACAGGCUGCUUACGGGGGUCAGGGCUCAAGUCAGGCAGCCCGAGGCUCGGCUCCCUUCAUGCCUGGGGCUCAAUGAGCUGGGAGCAGCCCUGUCCUGUCAACCAUUCCAUAGCCAAUAAUGUUUCAAUCUCCUUACAGGUUGCAGAACCAAGGUGAGGCAGGGGAGUUCUGCACAGACCUACAUCUUCAGCACACCUCCUCCAGAACUCCUGUGUGUACUUCUCAUGAUCCCAAAUGAGUUUCCUUAUCUUCAGCACUACCGUUUGGAGCUCAGAGGUGUAAUUUCAAGCCUAAGGGCCUGCUGGCAGCCAGCUGUUUGGUGAAACUCUUCGUGUGAUCCUUUGCACUCAGUUGGGGCUGGAGGAGAGCAACCUAUCUGCAAGGGCAAGGUGCACACCUUGACCCAAGCAAGCAUCUCCCAUCCUUUUAGGAUCAUAGAAUAUCCUGUAUUGGAAGGGAUCCAUAAGGACCAUUGAGUCCAUCUCCUUCAGAUCACACCACUCUGCACAGAUUACUGCAAACAGAAGAAACAGUGCUUUGUCUCAGCUGAAGACCCCUGGAUGUAAAUCUACGGUAAAACAGUCCCUAUGGGUGAUCACCACCAGCAGCUGCUUGACAUCUAUGGAUGCACAUGGAAGAAUAGAUUUUGGAAGUUCAGCACCAACAGCUCCUGUUUUGGGGAGUUUUCCCUUGAUACCUGCAGUGUUAGCAGCAGGGCAGGGGAAGGAAAUACGAGGUUAUCCUUCCCAGUGAGUGACAGAGGAGUGGAACAGUAGGAAAGAAUGUUUUAGUCAUUGGGUUAAAACGCUUUUUUCUACUCACCGAUAGAAAUGAUCUCAUCUGUUUCAAUAUUAUUCUUGUGCCUGUGUCUUUAUUCUGUGCCUGGAAACCACCAGCUCUACAGAGAUGCACUGACACCCUGAGCUCUUCCUGGGACACUCCUUGGGAGCUUCCCUACAGACACGAGCCACAGGCUUCCCCAACAGAGGUAACACAAGGUGAUCCAUAGCAGCAAAGCUGCUGUGAGCUCUCUCCUAGUGAGGAUCCCACCAAGCGUGGUCCUGCUGGACACAGCCUCCUGCUGGAUGUGAUUCCAUGCAGGAUGUUGCAAUAGUCACUCCUAGCCCGGAACCAGAGAGGACGAACCAACACUCCAACUCAACCCCUAGAUUAAUUGCUUUUCUCUGUAACCCGUGUCUGACAGCAAAGCAUUGCUCCAUUGAUUUUAUUUUUGUCUGUUGGCACACACGUGGGUUUGUUUUCAGCAGCUUUGCUUUCCUGUUGUUUUACAAGAAGACUUUGGGUCGUGUCCGUAGCUCUGACCUCUGGGGCCUGAUUCUGUUCCCACUAAAACAAGUCUCCCACUGGCAUCUGUGGGGGCACUGCACAGUGGAAGGGUCCCCAUGGGGCAGAGCCACAGCUGGCUGCACCAGUGUGCCCAGCACUGCACUUCUGUGCUCCUUCUGUUCCCAUCGCCUUCAACUGAAGCUUUUCCCCCUCCAAUCAUAAAACUUCCACUUUUAAUAUUUUAAACUUAUUUCUCAUAAAACUCCCAACUACGAAAAUUUCUUUUAAAGAAAUACACCAUUAAUGUAUCUUUAUGACGUGCAGCUGAUGCUCACAGCAUGGGCUAUGACUUUUUUAUGUUCCUUACUUGUUCUUGAGACCUUUUAUUUUGACAUCAUAUCCUUAUGUGCUAAAUUAAAACAAAUUUUUAUUAUCUACUAUAUGCCAGCAGACAGCGGUGCCUUAAAGCUGUUGUACAGCUCUUCAUGUCCAUCGUGGGGCACCUUCCCGUCUUCCUGCCCGCUCCCUCCCUCCACCUCUCCAAAAACCCAUGGAGCGAGUUAUCCCCAUUGACAGCAAUUUACAGUCCCCAUUAACGGUCAUAUAAAUUCCAGUGGAUCAAGGGAGCUUCGAGUCUAUGAUAUUCAGACGCAGCUAAUAGCUCUGGGAUAAUUGCCAUCUCGUGUUUCUGUGCUCCGAGCCUGACUGUUUAUAUCUCAGGACAAGCAAGCAGUAAAACAAGUUUCCACGUUCCCCGAGUCACCCAAGGAGCCGCCGGCUCCAAUAGCAGGCAGAGGGCUGGAGGUGGCAGUCAUUUCCUAUGGUUAAUGCUCGCUGCUUGUGCACAGCUCACCCUUCCAGAGGGAAGCGGGGUCAGCCCUGAGCCCUUCUGUAUGGGGAAAAAGCAGCCAGCUUGGUGUUAUCGCUGUUAGCGAUGAGGCUUAGGCUCAUGCUGUGGAAGGGUGGCACUGGUCUGUUAAAUAAUGUGUGAUCUGUAAUUUUAGGUUUUGGAAUCGGUAGUUUGGAAGCUUGAUUAAUAGGGGUGUUUACUGGAAAUCCUUGUUGGCUUUGAAAGCUUGGUUAAUAGGAAUAUUUGCUGUGAAAGCUGUGCUGAUAAAUAGACAUUUAGUUUAAUGGUGGAAGGAGCAAUUGGCAUGCUGUGGGCAACAGGAAGAGCCAUCUUCUUCUUGCCCAGGCCUCUGGCAGGGGUUGUUCAUUGUCCCACAGUGCAGGACUGCAGCCAGCAUCACCCCUAGGGCUGUGCCAGCAGUCUGCAGUCAGUCUGCGAGCUGCCAUGGAUAGCUGUGGUUGGGUUCUACAGAGAGGAAACACUCACUGUGUGGGAUCUAAAUCUCUCCAUGAAAACAGCCUAAGUGUGGGGGAAUGCCAGGUUGUCCCAUGCACUUCCUCUUUGCAGUGUUGGCAACCAAAGAUUCUUCAGUUCAUAGAAUCAAUAAGGCUGGAAAAGAGCUCUAAAGUCAUCGAGUCCAACCUCAGCCCACCCAACCAUGCCCACUGACCACAAUUCUCAGUGCCACAUCUCCACAGCUCUGGAAUUCCUCCAGGGAUGGUGACUCCACCACCUCCCUGGGCAGCUGUGCCACUGCAUCCAUAAUGCCCAAUCUGACUCUCCUCUGGUGCAACAUGAUACCAUCACAUCCCAUCCUAACACUGUUACCUGGGAGCAGAGGCCAACCCCCACCUCACUCCAACCUUCUUGCAGAGUUGUAGGGAGUAAUAAUGUCUCCCUUGAGCCUUUUUCCUGGUUUUCUUUAAGUGAUACAGAACUCAACAUCUCUGUGACUUAAAACCUGCAUGUUUGUGUUAUUUCUCUAAGGAUUCCAAGGGGGAAGGAUCUUACUUUAUUGGAAAGUAAGGUGAGGGCUCCCCAUGUCCUGAUUGCCCCAUGGUGCUGGGGCAGUGGGGACAGCACUGCUCCUCCUGCUGCAUCCCACCCCACUCCUGCUGUGAUUCACUGAGCCCUAGUGCCUUCACUCAUGCUCUUGUUUGCUCACUUGCAUGCCGAGAAAACCUAUUUUUUGAUGGGAAAUUAAGUAUAAUCCUUUCCAUUAUGCACAUUUCCAAUAAAUUACUGGUGAGUUUGCACCUUUCAUGUCAGCAAGGUCUGUCAGAGGUGUUUGCUCACAAUUGAUUCACCCCACCCCAACCUGGGGAGAUCUGAUCACGGCGCAUUAUGCCUGACAGGGUUAUCAGAUGACCUUCUGAAAAAUUGCAAAGCACUUUCCAUCUUUUGCAAGAUGGACAGAUAAAGCUUGGGGGGCUGCUGUAGAGCUGAAAAAUGCAGCAGGGGUGUGGCUCCGCAGGCAGCUCCAGCUCUUUGCAUCAUGCUGGCGGCCACUCCCCUAUAAAUCUGUGGGGCUGGCAGGAGCUGCUGGCUCACCACAGUGAGAUGCCAAGCAUCACUCCAGAAGAACCUCAUUUGUACAGAGACCUCUGGAAUGUGGAGCCAACCAGCCAGGUGUCCCCCAAAAUCUGAGCAGCUCACUGUUUUGUUGGAGGGGCAAAGGGCUGUUAGGGGAACCCAAUUAAAAACUCUACUGUGUAAAUGCUAGGGCAGUGCCAAUGGGAUCCUGACUCUGCUGCCUGCAUUUGCGCCUUGCUCUUGUGGGUCAGAGCAUAUUUCAGUGGGGCAUGUGCCAAACCUGCUGGUAGUGGGCGUUCUACCCAACAUUCCCUGCUAGCCCUGGCUAUUUGCUGAUUCGCUUGGCAGCUUUCACCCUCUCAGAAUGUUUCCUUUGACACUCUAUAAAGGUGACCAAGUGCUCCUAUAUAUAUAUAUAUAUAUGGGAAAUAUAUAUAUAUAUAUAUAUUAGUCUGGGAAAAAAAAAGAAAAAAAAAAGGCUUUUCUGCUACACAUUCAGAAAUUGUCAGCAAGGCUGAAAUUCUCCUUAUGAGAACUUUUGGUGCUUACUGAGAACUGGGACUCUGUGAGUACGGUGGCGGACCGGAAAGCAUUUACAGAAUCUAUUCACCAUGGCCCAACUCUGCCACUUUCCACCAGCUCUGCAAGAACUUGCGCUGGCGUUAACCUUAAAAACUUCAGGAAUGAAAACAGAAGGGGGGAUAUGCAAGAUUUGCUGAUGGGCUGCAUUGUGCUGAGAGAAGCUCAGCCACAGUGAAGUGACAUCACUGCUCUUACUUUUCCACUUCUUGUUUGUUGCUUUUUCUUGACCACUUGAAUCAGCACUACGUUGUUGGGAAUGUGCAGAUUGGUACUUCCCAGCAACUAAUCUGGUUUCACUACAGUGAUGUUGGUGAAGAUGCAGUGCCGCCAGCACCGCUGGGAGGAGGUCACUCAUGCAUCCCCAUUGCCAUUCCCACCAUCAUCCCCAUCUCCAUUCCCAUCGCCAUCUCCUUCACUAUCGCCAUCCCCAUCGUCAUCCCCAACACCAUCGCCAUACCCAUCACCAUCACCAUCGCCAUCCCAACCCUUGUCUCUGGCCACCGCUGGCACAAAAGGUGAGAAGCAGCAAAGCUGUGGAUGCAGAAUGAAUUCAGGUUUUAACUUUUUUGAUUUUGCAGUAAACCUAAGUUCAGUAAAUUGAUUUUUGUAGUAAUAAAAGCUGAACACUCAUAACCCCCAAAGCGAUAAACUUUUUACUGCUAUUUAGAAUUUAUAUUUUAUUUCCAGUCUUUUCCUUGGAUGUGCCCUGAGGGGGAGCACUUUAUGUGCAGCUCUAGAAAUGAACUGAGUGCAAAUAUUUUUAUUUUCCGCUAAGCAUGAAAAUUUUGAUGCAUUCUCAUGAGACCAAAUGCACUUCUUAAAAGUACAGGGCAGCCAGCAGAGCAACUCGGCUGCUCUUUCAUUUAUUUAUUUCUUUAUAAUUUUCUGAAGGAAAAGCAUUGUUGGUACAAAGUCUGGGCACUGGGCAGUGGGGCGAAUAGACUGAAUACAGAAAGCACCGAAUUCUGAUCUUGGCCACCUCUUUUAUUGAUGUUCAGGUGGAAAUAAUCAUUCUAUGAUUCUAAUUUAUUAUUUUUCCUGAGUUUAUGAGUCCCUCAGUUAUGAGUAACUCAGAGGGACAGAGUAAAACAUACUGAAGUUCCUCAAGAAGGACCGUUUAUGUCCCUCUGGUUCAACACUCGCUUGGAGGGUGGGGAAGUCCCAGCAUGCUGAAGCUUAAAAUAACAGCACGGUGAUGGAUGAGAAGACCAUUGCAGGUGCAUUUUAGAGAUUUUUGAAAUGUCUGAACGGUAACUCUUCUCUCCUUACAGGUCCUGGGCAGCCAGAUUCACCUGGCUUUUUAUGCAAAGGGAUAAAAGAAGCAAUACAUAUAAAUGGUAUUAAUGCUCCCUAAAACAUCCUGGAAAUAUUCCUUCUGUAAAAUCUGUAUGACAAGUAUAGAUGGCAUCUCAUAAGGUGACCCAGAUGAUUCAGCACUUGGCUGCACAUGAGUAAUGUGGCCAUCCCCAUCUCUGCAGCAGUAACCUCUUUACACCAUGUAUUGCCAUCCAGGAGAUGUACAGGAUUUCUGCACAUAGAAAAGAAGGCUGGAGGAGCUGAGUGCUGGAUUUCAGCUUUCUUAACUGUAGCAAUAUCCCUGAAAACUUGGUGGGGUAACAGCAGCUGGAGCUGGAAGCCCCCAGCAUCCCUGCCUGAGAGGAUGUCAAUGGAGGUUCAGUACAGGGGGCUGCUGAGUAAAUACUGAGAAUGGGGAAAUAUUUGAGCAUUGGUCUCUCCAUACUCUUCUCUUGCUUGCACCCUCAGACGUGCCCUGUUUAAGCUCUGUUUCCAUUUUCAUUUUAUUUUAAUCACAGAAUCAUUAAGGUUGGAAAAAAACACGAAGGUCAUCAAGUCAACCCAUCCUCACCGUGCCCACUAACCAUGUCUCUUAGCCACCUAAGGGCCACCUGUCCUGCACCAGCACAACGUGGGUAGGAUGAGCCCUGGAGAAACUUCCUGUUGCUUGGCACCAGCUCUGAAAUCUUCCCAUCGAUGAAGCCAUACAAUGAGCCACGCUUAAUGAAUCAGAAUGUUAAUCAUCACUCACAUCAAUUCAGCAGCCCUGCCUGGAUGAUAGCUGCCCCCCUCUACUACUCUGAAUUCCUCCCCCUCGUCAUCAUCACAUCUUCUGGCUCUCUCCUUCAUUAGUUUUUAUCUGAUGAUUGAAUACCACUGUUAGCCAAAAAUUAUCAGUGCUAGCAUGCAUGCACAGCACACUGCAAGGGAGCAUUGUAAAACACAAGGCAAUUCAUGCUACAAAGCUGUCACAAACUGAAGAAAUAUCUCCCUUGUUUUCUCUGAGGCUGAAUGAAUGAAGCCUCAGCCCUGCUGCUGUACAACACUAAGCUCCUGUGGAAAGAAAAGCAUAACAUCCAGGCACAAUGGAAGAAAAAGCAGAUUCUUCAUGAUUAACAUAGGCAAUUUAACUGGAAGAAUUAUAAAAUAUCCCAAGUUGGAAGAGACCGAAAGGAUUUCAAAUCCAGCUCCUGGCUCCACACAGGACACCCAAAAAUCAGACCAUCUGUCUGGGAAGAGGAACAUCAGCUCAUGGAACUGACAUUUUGGAGAAUGGUUUCUUCUCGCUGCGUUUUUAGAUGAGUUGCAGUCAGUUUGUGCUGUAUAAGCCAUAUUAGGAGUAGGUUCCCACAGUGAAGCCAUGUCCAGCCCUGCCAGGCAGAAGGGGAAGAUGCUUUCAGCUUCUUUGCCUUCUCUUCAUGACAUCCCACCCUGAAUGCAUCUUUAGGCAUCUCUAAUGAGAUCUAGAAUGAGUCAUUAAUUUCUAAUUAAUUAACCUUUGUCAUGGCCUGCAGCAUUCUUAAUGUUGUUUUGUAAGAGUAUCCACUGUCACUCCGUGAUGGGCAUCUCCAUCAAGCCAGAAAAUCCCCUAUGGAAAUACCCUAAGGAUGAACAGAGCCCCAUACCCAAAAUCUGUGCUCAAAAGUAGAUUGCUCUGAGCCUUGUUUUGCACACAAAAAUGGUAGGGGUGGUAUUUUAACGUGUUUUCUUCUCAUGAGUUGAUGUUCCCAACAAGCAUGGUUGGUUGCUCUGGAUGUGUGCCCCAAGGCAACUCAGCCUGCCCAUCACUUCUCACUGUUUCUAACAGUUUGAAUUUGGAGCACCUGGCAUCAGUCACCGCAGGUAGAAGUGUUUGACACUGGAGCCUCCGGGUGGGCUCAGACAUGGUUAUUAGGAAAGAUUACAGAAAUGAUGACGCCAUUUAUUUACUGUUGGUGAAUGGCGUUGGCCAAGCUGGAGCACUGAUCUGUCUGUCACCUUACGUGCUGGGUUCCUGCUGAGCACUGGUGGGGUGCAGAACUGGGAUUCCAAUGGACUUUUGGAGAAGGAUUGGGCUUCUCGGGCUGCCCAUGGAGCUGCUGCACCCAUUGCAUUGCUUUGGCUGCUCAGCCCAGAUGCUAAGCAGAAAGGAAUAUGUUCAGUGUCCCAGGCACUGACAGCUCGACAUAUACACAGCAUAGAUAGCUUGCAAACUAGAUAAAGGAGUGACAACAUCUUCUUGAGAGAAAACACAGGGUUUCCCCCUCUGCGAUGCUUCAUCUCUGCUGUCUUCUGAUUUUGAUCUCCCAGGGCACACCACUCACAGCUGCCUUCCCGCUGUCCUGGGGCUUGCAGAGCCUUUUGGAGCAGUGUGGAGCCGCCCUCCUGCACACUAUUUGCUUAUCAUGGUUCCUGAUGGACAGUGUGCUUUGUGGGGUGGGGGAGGACUUUGGUUCCCUGCUGUCAUUGCUGGAGUUGUUGGUUAGCUGUGCCCCAGGCCACCCCUUGCCCCUUUCUCUAAGCAGCUUUUUACGCUGCGCAGCUCAAAGAGGUUGUAAAAUGCCUUUUCUCUGGCUUAGAGAGAGGGAGAGAAGAAAAUGCUUCUGGAUCUAAACCAACUAUUCAAACUCUUGCUUUCUGGCAUCCAAAGAAGUCCCAAGGGUUUGUUUUGCAAAGGAGAAAGUGCUGGAGAUUGAAAAGAGGUUACCUGUAAACUGUAGAGGUUAAAUACAGAGAAAGGUGCACACAGGGUUUAGGGCACCUUAAGAAUAAUGUUAAUUAUUUAAGACUGAGAGCACUGAAGGAUACGUCAGACAAGAGUUGGGAUGGAUUUGCACUGCCGCUGUGCUGCCAUUGAUUCCCACUCCCGGCCCAUUCGUGCUGCCAUGAGGCAGUCAGGGCAGCUUGGAAACCUCUGGUCUUCUUCAGAAUGUUUUUCAGUGGCCACAAACUGGGGACUGUGCAGCCCCUCAGGGACAACCCUGCCUGUGCCCAGCUGCUGAAUGCACGAAGAGAUUGGUGGAUGGGCACCAAAUCCUGCACCAAUGGCCAAGCCCAACCAAUGCAGUUUGAAGGUCACAUGUGGGCAUCCUCAGUCCUAAAACAGCUGUUUGGGGUUGAUGCUCGCAAGGCUUAGCAUUUCCAAAAGUGCCGAUGUGAUGCUCUGUCUCAGUGUGCCAUUAGCCCAUCAAGCAGUGUGCCACCUUCCUGACGAGGCACCAAACAGAGAGCAGGAAAGUUACUUGGAAAAUGCAUCACCAAUCUCCCCAUGAAGCCACAACCACGUACCCACUGUGAGGCUGUUGGCUUCCCGCAGUCUUCCCAUGGAAAAUGUCCUCACCUCCUGCUGCAGUUGGGCGGCAUCUCCAGAGGUUCACGGCGGGAGCUGCUUGUGUUUGGCUGGAGCACUGGGAAGGAUUUUGAUUCCAGGUUUUGCUCUGAUUUGCACCAGUGGCCACGUCCUAGCAGAGCGGCACUGCCACGGGCAAACAGAGCCCACAGC